rnacentral:rRNA from 1 species
UACGGGGGGGAGCAAGCGUUGUUCGGAUUUAUUGGGCGUAAAGAGCGUGUAGGCGACCAGGUAGGUCCGUUGUGAAAACUCGAGGCUCAACCUCGAGACGUCGAUGGAAACCAUCUGGCUAGAGUCCGGAAGAGGAGAGUGGAAUUCCUGGUGUAGCGGUGAAAUGCGCAGAUAUCAGGAAGAACACCUAUGGCGAAGGCAGCUCUCUGGGACGGUACUGACGCUGAGACGCGAAAGCGUGGGGAGCGAACAGG